rnacentral:rRNA from 1 species
GCCUUUCUGUGAAACUGCGAAUGGCUCAUUAAAUCAGUUAUCGUUUAUUUGAUAGUACCUUACUACAUGGAUACCUGUGGUAAUUCUAGAGCUAAUACAUGCUAAAAACCCCGACUUCGGAAGGGGUGUAUUUAUUAGAUAAAAAACCAAUGCCCUUCGGGGCUCCUUGGUGAUUCAUAAUAACUUAACGAAUCGCAGGCCUUGCGCCGGCAUGGUUCAUUCAAAUUUCUGCCCUAUCAACUUUCGAUGGUAGGAUAGUGGCCUACCAUGGUGGCAACGGGUAACGGGGAAUUAGGGUUCGAUUCCGGAGAGGGAGCCUGAGAAACGGCUACCACAUCCAAGGAAGGCAGCAGGCGCGCAAAUUACCCAAUCCCGACACGGGGAGGUAGUGACAAUAAAUACUGAUACGGGGCUCUUUCGGGUCUCGUAAUUGGAAUGAGUACAAUCUAAAUCCCUUAACGAGGAACAAUUGGAGGGCAAGUCUGGUGCCAGCAGCCGCGGUAAUUCCAGCUCCAAUAGCGUAUAUUAAAGUUGUUGCAGUUAAAAAGCUCGUAGUUGAACCUUGGGUCUGGCUGGCCGGUCCGCCUCACCGCGAGUACUGGUCCGGCUGGACCUUUCCUUCUGGGGAAUCCCAUGGCCUUCACUGGCUGUGGGGGGAACCAGGACUUUUACUGUGAAAAAAUUAGAGUGUUCAAAGCAGGCCUUUGCUCGAAUACAUUAGCAUGGAAUAAUAGAAUAGGACGUGCGGUUCUAUUUUGUUGGUUUCUAGGACCGCCGUAAUGAUUAAUAGGGAUAGUCGGGGGCGUCAGUAUUCAGCUGUCAGAGGUGAAAUUCUUGGAUUUGCUGAAGACUAACUACUGCGAAAGCAUUCGCCAAGGAUGUUUUCAUUAAUCAGGGAACGAAAGUUAGGGGAUCGAAGACGAUCAGAUACCGUCGUAGUCUUAACCAUAAACUAUGCCGAGUUUUGACCCGCUCGGACCUUAAUUUGGGGG